AGUGGGAUAGCUGGGUCAAAUGGUGGUUCCAUUCUAAGUUUUCUGAGGAAUCUCCAUAUUGCUUUCUAAAGUGAUUACACCAAUUUGCACAUUCCCACCAGCAAU
rnacentral:pre_miRNA from 1 species